UACGGAGGGUGCAAGCGUUAUCCGGAUUCACUGGGUUUAAAGGGUGCGUAGGUGGGCAGGUAAGUCAGUGGUGAAAUCUCCGGGCUUAACCCGGAAACUGCCUUUGAUACUAUCUGUCUUGAAUAUCGCGUAGGUAAGCGGAAUAUGUCAUGUAGCGGUGAAAUGCUUAGAUAUGACAUAGAACACCAAUUGCGAAGGCAGCUUCCUUCACGAUCAUUGACACUGAUGCACGAAAGCGUGGGGAGCAAACAGG
rnacentral:rRNA from 1 species